rnacentral:tRNA from 1 species
AGGUGUAUAGUUCAACGGUUAGAACGGUGGUCUUAUAAACCACUAAUAGAAGUUCAACUCUUCUUACACCUA